rnacentral:lncRNA from 1 species
CAGUUACCAUAGACUUCCAGUCAUUGUGCUAAUGCUAGUUAGCAACUUCCUUCAAAAGGCACGCAGAGACAUAAAAAUGGUUUCCACAACCAUGAGUUCAUCUGACUCUGGGGAAGUAGAAUCCUGAAAUAUCCCUUUUUAAGAAGUUUGUGGUGGUGAGGCAUUUGAAAGGGCCUAAUGAAUUGGCCAUUAAUGGGUCUUUGAUGGGUUGGGUUAAUGAGGUCACUUGUUUCAUCUCACCACCUUACAGGCAACAGGGUUCCGUGGUAAUGGCCUGGUCACGGCACCUUGACAUGUGGCAGCAACUGAGGGAUCAGGGGUCACAAAUGCAGUCCUACUGGUGAGGAAAGGGUUCCAGCAGUGACUGACAGGAGAGGAGGGCUCAUUGGUUCCCAUAUAGAGCAAUACUGCUGCAUCUCCUCUCCUGCUCCAGCAGAUGUGGAUCCCCAUGGUGACAGGAGAAGAACACCAGAGACACUGCAGAUGGAUGAGUUACACAUCACAAAGAGGAGGAGACAGAAUGACAGACUGCAGGCGCCAUCUGGGAGCGAGAUGUGCAUUACAGGAGCUAUCCAUAUGGUCGGGGCAUCAUGACUUUGCUCAUCUCAUCUCCCGUCAACAUCUCUUCUGCUCAAGUCCUCUCUCAAAUGAUCCACAUACACAUUCUAAACAGAAAGACAAAAACAUGCUCGUGUUUAUAGAUUUUUGCAGAGAUUAUACAAAUUUACACAUAACAGUCGGUAUUAGAUUAAAAUGUUAAACUCAUGUCUUCAAUACUCUUAAAAUGUACAUUUCCUCAUGAAUCGGGUGCUAUAGAUUAAGACUCUUCAUACAAUCUGAUUAUAGUACAUUUAUUAUAAUACAGAAAAUGAUUUGCCACCUCCAUAUCAUCCCCACCCCCAGACGUUGUUCAGUGUCGGGAGCUGGGGGCUUUUUUAAACCCAUCUGCUGUCUCGCCCCCUUCAAUCUGCCCCCCCCCCCCCCCCCCAGAACCAAUGGCAUCGUACUCCUCAUCCUGUCCCCAUCCUACCCACUCAAUCACCCAGUGCAUAAUAUAUUCCCCCUGUAACCAAAUACUACAGCUCACAUUGWAUUAAGCCACGUUGCAUAUGCUUAUAACACACACAGUGAUGUUUACAGACCUGUCAUCUGGAAUGUACUGUAGGCUAGAUGUAAGAUAAGUGUAUCUAUGUAUAUUUAGAAAUAAACAGUGUCAAUAUUAAAUCUCUGUGUGUUUGCUAAUUAUGACAAAUUCUUAUUCUACUCAAAAUCAACACUUAUUCG